rnacentral:tRNA from 1 species
UCCCUGGUCGGUCCAGCGGCUAAGACUCUGCACUCCCAAUGCAGGGGGCCCGGGCUCGAAUCCUGGUCAGGGAA